rnacentral:rRNA from 1 species
CCUGGGGACUACGGCCGCAAGGCUAAAACUCAAAGGAAUUGACGGGGACCCGCACAAGCGGUGGAGCAUGUGGUUUAAUUCGAUGCAACGCGAAGAACCUUACCUGGUCUUGACAUCCUGCGAACUUUCUAGAGAUAGAUUGGUGCCUUCGGGAACGCAGUGACAGGUGCUGCACGGCUGUCGUCAGCUCGUGUUGUGAAAUGUUGGGUUAAGUCCCGCAACGAGCGCAACCCCUAUUGAUAGUUACCAUCAUUAAGUUGGGUACUCUAUUGAGACUGCCGCUGACAAGGCGGAGGAAGGUGGGGACGACGUCAAGUCAUCAUGGCCCUUACGACCAGGGCUACACACGUGCUACAAUGGGUAUUACAGAGGGCUGCGAAGGUGCGAGCUGGAGCGAAACUCAGAAAGGUACUCUUAGUCCGGAUUGCAGUCUGCAACUCGACUGCAUGAAGUCGGAAUCGCUAGUAAUCGCAGGUCAGAAUACUGCGGUGAAUACGUUCCCGGGUCUUGUACACACCGCCCGUCACACCAUGGGAGUGGGUUGCUCCAGAAGUAGAUAGCUUAACGAAUGGGCGUUUACCACGGAGUGAUUCAUGACUGGGGUGAAGUCGUAACAAGGUAGCCGUAGGGGAACCUGCGGCUGGAUCACCUCCUUAA